rnacentral:rRNA from 1 species
UGGGGGAAUUUUGCACAAUGGGGGAAACCCUGAUGCAGCGACGCCGCGUGAUUUAGAAGGCCUUCGGGUUGUAAAAAUCUUUUCUAUGGGAAGAAAAUGACAGUACCAUAGGAAUAAGGACCGGCUAAUUACGUGCCAGCAGCCGCGGUAAUACGUAAGGUCCGAGCGUUGUCCGGAAUCAUUGGGCGUAAAGGGUACGUAGGCGGGUAAGCAAGUUAGAAGUGAAAUCCUAUAGCUCAACUAUAGUAAGCUUUUAAAACUGCUCAUCUUGAGGUAUGGAAGGGAAAGUGGAAUUCCUAGUGUAGCGGUGAAAUGCGCAGAUAUUAGGAGGAAUACCGGUGGCGAAGGCGACUUUCUGGCCAUAACCUGACGCUGAGGUACGAAAGCGUGGGUAGCAAACAGG